rnacentral:rRNA from 1 species
UACGUAGGCAGCGAGCGUUGUUCGGAGUUACUGGGCGUAAAGGGUGCGUAGGCGGUUGUUUAAGUUUGGUGUGAAAUCUCCCGGCUCAACUGGGAGGGUGCGCCGAAUACUGAAUGACUAGAGUGCGGGAGAGGAGAGUGGAAUUCCUGGUGUAGCGGUGAAAUGCGUAGAUAUCAGGAGGAACACCGGUGGUGUAGGCGGCUCUCUGGACCGUAACUGACGCUGAGGCACGAAAGCGUGGGUAGCAAACAGG